GCCUAAUCACAAAACCACUAUCUUAAUCCCACACCAACACCGAAUACUUCUAUAACACUAUAGAAAAUUUUAUGUUAAAACUAGUAACAAGAAGUAAACCUUCUCUUAAAUGUAAAUGUAAAUCAGAAAGGACAGACCACUGAUAUUUAACACCUUUGAACCUAAAGUAGUAACUAAUCAAGAAAACUCUGCUAUAAACAACGUUAACCUAACACAAGAACAUUCCAAGAAAGAUUUAAAGAAUAAGAAGGAACUCGGCAAAUUUUAACCUCGCCUGUUUACCAAAAACAUCGCCUCUUGCCCCCCCCCAUAAGAGGUCCAGCCUGCCCAGUGACUCUGUUUAACGGCCGCGGUAUCCUAACCGUGCGAAGGUAGCGUAAUCACUUGUUCUUUAAAUAAGGACUAGUAUGAAUGGCAUCACGAGGGUUACACUGUCUCCUUUUUCCAAUCAGUGAAACUAAUCUUCCCGUGAAGAAGCGGGAAUUAACCUAUAAGACGAGAAGACCCUAUGGAGCUUUAAACAACACAGCAUUUACCUUACAAAUUUCUAAAACAAACUUUACUAGGUAGAAUGACUAUAAGUUUUUGGUUGGGGUGACCGCGGAGCAUAAUCUAACCUCCUUGUUGAAAAAAUAUUAUUUUAAGCCCAGAACUACCUAUCUAAGCAUCAACAUUUUGACAUCCAUUGACCCAAUUAUAUUGAACAACGAACCAAGUUACCCUAGGGAUAACAGCGCAAUCCACUUUAAGAGCCCCUAUCGACAAGUGGGUUUACGACCUCGAUGUUGGAUCAGGGUUUCCAAGUGGUGCAGCCGCUACUA
rnacentral:rRNA from 1 species